GAUGAAGAACGCAGCAAAAUGCGAUAAGUAAUGUGAAUUGUAGAAUUCAGUGAAUCAUCGAAUCUUUGAACGCACAUUGCGCCCGCCAGUAUUCUGGCGGGCAUGCCUGUUCGAGCGUCAUUUCAACCCUCAAGCACAGCUUGGUGUUGGGACUCGCGUUAAUUCGCGUUCCUCAAAUUGAUUGGCGGUCACGUCGAGCUUCCAUAGCGUAGUAGUAAAACCCUCGUUACUGGUAAUCGUCGCGGCCACGCCGUUAAACCCCAACUUCUGAAUGUUGACCUCGGAUCAGGUAGGAAUACCCGCUGAACUUAAGCAUAUCAAUAAGCGGAGGA
rnacentral:misc_RNA from 1 species